UGACAAGUCUUUCAAAAAGCAGCUAAAAUUCAGAGACUUCACACACCGCUACAAGGAGGUCACCGUUACUUUGGAAGUGGUCAACCCAGAACAACAAACAUGUGAAGCUUCUGUGUCCCCAGCAAACCAGAGGUGUUUGGAAUCUACUUGCCACAGACUGCCUGCAGUCAUUUCCAUUCCACAAUUCCCACAAGAUGUCCAGAGCCGCUUAGAUGCUAAAGAACCGGUCCACAAGAAACAAAAGUACCGUAACAAAAUAAUUUUGACUCUGUAUGACAUGCUGUCACAGUGUACAAUGUAUCCAACCAACUCGGACUACGUUCAGGUCGUUAAAGCGUUAAUUGUGAAGUACCCUUUCUUAAGGGAUGUACACGGGAAUGGUUAU